UAGUCUGUGAGGGGGUGUGGGUGCGCAUGUGUGCGUGUGUGCAGAAGUGGGGGCGUGAGGUGAAGUGUUUAGUCGUACAAGGGGUUGCCAGGGUCGUGCCGGGGGUUUCCCGAGUAGCUCGGAUCCCGUUUUGCUGUCAGGCAAAGCCGCGGGUGCAGCCAGGGGGCGGAGUCUUUGCUCACAUCGGGACUGUCUGUAAAACACACAUCAAAGGUUAGCACAUUCACUGAGAGCCUCCUCUGCCUUGCGAGUGGAGUAUUGCCCCUUUUAUACUCUCCCCUCAGCUGCUGGAUGGUGGAAUUUUUCCAUGCCACGCACCAUUCAGCAGCCAUGUGUAUGUCAGUGGCCCCGUCCCACUGCCACGCGCUCUCCGGCUGUCCAAAACAUUGGUGUUGCUGAAGCAGAACUGUCUCUUCAGUACUACAGCGGCAGUCGCGGGAGGAGCGAUCUUUGUCUCUUGUGGCCUGUUGCCACAACAGAUUUACUCUUUCUAAUUCUUGAAAGGGGAUUUGAUGAAUAUUUGACAUAUUUUUACGCUUUAACUGAUAAAUUAGACGAGACAAUAAGCUGAUAUUGACUAAUUGUCUCGUGAAACCAAACCCAGUCCACAGAUUUUAUAAUAACUGUCUGUCCAUCAUCUGUGUUUCAGACUUCAAACCUGUUCCACCCAAACCGGUAAGUGAACCUUUAUGAUCCAGAAAUGAUGUUUAAAUCCAGUACAUUAUUGACUCGCAGUGUUUACUUCACUUUCUGAUGAUUUGAUGUUUUACAGCCUCUGAAGGAGAUUCUUCCUCCAACAACUCCUAAAGUGGACUGUGUGUGUUCCCGCUGCACUGAGAGAGAGAGAGGAGGAGAGGGAGAUGAGUACCACACACACACAUUAUCAUAACAGAUUGGACUAAAUGUAAAAUGAACAGGAAGCGGGAUCUUCAGAUGAUCCAUGUUGAACAGAUCGGACUAAAGUGUAAAAGAACAGGAAGCGGGAUCUUCAGAGGGUCCGUGUUGAACAGAUUGGACUAAAGUGUAAAAGAAUAGGAACCGGGAUCUUCAAAUCUGAUCCGUGUUGAACAGAUUGGACUAAAGUGUAAAAGAACAGGAAGCGGGAUCUUCAGAUGAUCCGUGUUGAACAGAUUGGACUAAAUGUAAAAGAACAGGAAGCGGGAUCUUCAGAUGAUCCGUGUUGAACAGAUUGGACUAAAGUGUAAAAGAACAGGAAGCGGGAUCUUCAGAUGAUCUGUGUUGAACAGAUUGGACUAAAGUGUAAAAGAACAGGAAGCGGGAUCUUCAGAUGAUCCGUGUUGAACAGAUCGGACUAAAGUGUAAAAGAACAGGAAGCGGGAUCUUCAGAGGGUCCGUGUUGAACAGAUUGGACUAAAGUGUAAAAGAAUAGGAACCGGGAUCUUCAGAUCUGAUCCGUGUUGAACAGAUUGGACUAAAGUGUAAAAGAACAGGAAGCGGGAUCUUCAGAUGAUCCGUGUUGAACAGAUUGGACUAAAGUGUAAAAGAACAGGAAGCGGGAUCUUCAGAUCUGAUCCGUGUUGAACAGAUUGGACUAAAGUGUAAAACAACAGGAAGCGGGAUCUUCAGAUGAUCUGUGUUGAACAGAUUGGACUAAAGUGUAAAAGAACAGGAGUGAACACAGCAGAAGCAGGAGUUCAUGCUGAUGAUCAGCACUCAAAGCUUUUCUUUUCUCCACACGUGGAAAACACAAAUCUACUAAAUGUCACGGCACUGACUCCAUUAUUUAUUCCUGAACUCAGUUUAAAGCAAAAAACAAUCCAUUCAACACGUUUUCACAUUUCUACGACCCAAAUCUCUCCCACAAUCCCUCUGUUCUGUCUGUAACAAUCUGAACCAAUAAUAAAGUCUAUUUUCUUCACUCUGUGUGCAGAGGCUUAUUUUACAACCAUGUUAAAUUUAUUAUCAGAGGAAAACAACAGACUUGUGAGACUUUAAAGUUCAAACAGUU
ensembl:lncRNA